rnacentral:rRNA from 1 species
GAUGAACGCUGGCGGCGUGCUUAACACAUGCAAGUCGAACGAAGCAUUUAGAACGGAUUACUUCGGUUUGAAGUUCUUUAUGACUGAGUGGCGGACGGGUGAGUAACGCGUGGGUAACCUGCCUUGUACUGGGGGAUAGCAGCUGGAAACGGCUGGUAAUACCGCAUAAGCGCACAAUGUUGCAUGACAUGGUGUGAAAAACUCCGGUGGUAUAAGAUGGACCCGCGUCUGAUUAGCUAGUUGGUGAGAUAACAGCCCUCCAAGGCGACGAUCAGUAGCCGACCUGAGAGGGUGACCGGCCACAUUGGGACUGAGACACGGCCCAGACUCCUACGGGAGGCAGCAGUGGGGAAUAUUGCACAAUGGAGGAAACUCUGAUGCAGCGACGCCGCGUGAGUGAAGAAGUAAUUCGUUAUGUAAAGCUCUAUCAGCAGGGAAGAUAGUGACGGUACCUGACUAAGAAGCUCCGGCUAAAUACGUGCCAGCCGCCGCUGUAACAC